rnacentral:rRNA from 1 species
UACGGAGGGAGCUAGCGUUGUUCGGAAUUACUGGGCGUAAAGCGCACGUAGGCGGCUAUUCAAGUCAGAGGUGAAAGCCUGGAGCUCAACUCCAGAACUGCCUUUGAAACUAGAUAGCUUGGAUCCAGGAGAGGUGAGUGGAAUUCCGAGUGUAGAGGUGAAAUGCGUAGAUAUGCGGAAGAACACCAGUGGCGAAGGCGGCUCACUGGACCGGUAUUGACGCUGAGGUGCGAAAGCGUGGGGAGCAAACAGG